rnacentral:tRNA from 1 species
GGUUCUGUAGCUCAGUCGGUAGAGCAGGGGACUGAAAAUCCCUGUGUCGCNGGUUCGAUUCCAGCCGGGACCACCA